UCAAGUACCGAAGUGCACACGGUGGAUGCCUUGGCAAUCAGAGGCGAUGAAGGACGUUGUAGCCUGCGAUAAGCGCGGGGGAGCUGGCAAACAAGCUUUGAUCCCGCGAUUUCCGAAUGGGGAAACCCAGUCUUAGGACUAUCCGAAAGGAAGCUAACCCGGAGAACUGAAACAUCUAAGUACCCGGAGGAAAGGA
rnacentral:rRNA from 1 species